CCCUCCCCCGACCGGUUUUAACCCCCGCAUCACGCUGCAAAAACAAGCACGUAUCACCAAUUCCCCAUCGCUGCCCAGCCGCCGCACAUCUCCCCGACCCAGCCGCCGCGCCCUUUCUCCCUCCCUCCCUCUGCCUCCUCAUGUUCCCUCGCCUCGACUAUCAUCCGGAUGGCGACCCCCGCCUCGGCAGGGACCCAUCGCGCCGGCACCUUCGCUGCGAUCCUCGCCGUCGUUGUGGUGUUCGCCCUCGCGCCGGGGGCUAUCCUGCUGGGCAGGAAUGGAGUGGUCUGCUACAUCCAGCGAUAGUGCCGCCAACCGACACGGAGUCACAAUGGCGUGGUUGUGGGAUUACUCCGUCGUGGCCACCAUCACGGGACCAGGAUUCCUUGGGUCGCUGCCUCCGCCGCCUCCGCUGACCUCUGAGACCGCCACCUCCGCCGCCGCCCACCGCCAUCGCGAAACCCCAGGUGAGGGCAGGACUUGAGGGAGGGCGUGGUUGUUGGAGGACGCCGCCGCCGCCAUCGCGGAACAGUAGGGUCAGGGGGUGGUCUGCGGUCAGUGAGGACCGGCAAGGCCGUGUCAAUCGUUCCCUACAUCACGGAACAUCACAGAUAUUUACAUUCUGUUCGUUUUGUGGAGUUUUCUGUUCAUUUCUGUAUUUCCUGAUCGUUUGUAUGCUUCACCUGUCCUGAACAUCGUUUCUUGCAGCGAGGAGCGGCGCAAGGCCAUGCCCUACAUCACCGAACAUCACAGGUACAUAGGUAUACAGAUACAAUGUGAGGGCGCUGGACGCAGGGACCUCUGCCAGGUGGUCAUCGGGCAUGAAUUGUUUAUCGUAGUUGAGGUUGCACAUAGAAUGCGGAAAUAGAUCACGGGUACAGUAUUCAGGUUUUCUGAAUUUUACUGCGGUUGAUGGUGCUUUUCCAGUAUAUUACAAUGUUUAUGGUUUAAUCAUAAAGUGUUGAGAUACUAGACAGACGAGAGAUACAUAAUCAGGUUGUGGACUAAUCUUAGUCUAAACCCAGGUUUAAAUAUUGUUCAGAAUAUAGUGGAAUAGUAUGCCAGAUCGUCAGGUCUGAGGAAUCAUGAUUCUGAAUUUACCAAAAGAAUUCGAUGGCUUAGCUGAAAUGGCUCGACCAAACAGAAAGUAUACCUUAAUGGAGGAUCUUGUGUUUUUUAAGGAACACUUGUGACCUUUCCUAGCUAUAUCAGCUAGGGAUUGGUUACGAGCAUAUCUGAAAUCAUAAUAGAAAACUGACAAGAUGUGUUGAGGAUAUUUUUCCUACUACGCAUGAGUAGUCUUUGCUACUAGCACUUUUAGCAGUGGAAUGGAUUUGGUUGUGAACACAGUCUGAUCCACCCAAAUCUCACUU